rnacentral:rRNA from 1 species
UCCUACGGGACGCAGCAGUAGGGAAUAUUGGUCAAUGGGCGCAAGCCUGAACCAGCCAUCCCGCGUGAAGGAAGAAGGCGCUAUGCGUUGUAAACUUCUUUUGCAGGGGAAGAAAGUUAUCUACGAGUAGGUAAUUGCCGGUACCCUGUGAAUAAGCAUCGGCUAACUCCGUGCCAGCAGCCGCGGUAAUACGGAGGAUGCGAGCGUUAUCCGGAUUUAUUGGGUUUAAAGGGUGCGUAGGCGGAUUGAUAAGUCAGUGGUGAAAUCCUGCAGCUUAACUGUAGCAUUGCCGUUGAUACUGUCAGUCUUGAGUAUGGUUAAGGUAGGCGGAAUGUGUAAUGUAGCGGUGAAAUGCUUAGAUAUUACACAGAACACCGAUUGCGAAGGCAGCUUACUGAGCCAAAACUGACGCUGAGGCACGAAAGCGUGGGGAGCGAGCAGGAUUAGAUACCCGAGUAGUCU